rnacentral:lncRNA from 14 species
CUUGCAGACUGGGAAAGUGCUGUGCACUGCUAAGGCACAUCAGUCACUCAGCAUCCAUGGCUUCACUCUUCACUAGGGAGUGACUGCGGUGUUGUUGGCAGCAAGGGGCUUUGGCGACAGAUGGUUUGGUCAAGCUUGCCAGUGAAACACUCCUCACACAGCCCUUGUGAAACACCUCUGCAUCGGGGUACAAAGCAGCUCCAAAGCUCAGCAGUAGCAUUUGUGCCAUUGCAUGUGUCCAGGUAAAGCCUACAAGCUACCAGGGUAAAUCAGCACUGCCAGGAGCUAGAAGGAGAGCCAGCUUUCAAACUCAGAAAGCCAUCACUUCCAGUAAUGUGAAAUCCCUUUCCUCCUUAAAUAUGAG